UUUCAGAGGAAGAGACAGAAGUACUUUCAAACGCUUCAUUUAAUACUCAAGGAGGAUCCUCCCACUGAAUCGUAUGCUCCUUAAGCAGGGCAUUUGACAAGGGGAUAAGACACCCACAGACACGGGAAGGAAUAUGAAGGCUUCACCACAAGGUAUGGCUUAGCGG